GGAUGAACGCUGGCGGCGUGCCUAAUACAUGCAAGUCGAGCGAACGGACGAGAAGCUUGCUUCUCUGAUGUUAGCGGCGGCCGGGUGAGUAACACGUGGAUAACCUACCUAUAAGACUGGGAUAACUUCGGGAAACCGGAGCUAAUACCGGAUAAUAUUUUGAACCGCAUGGUUCAAAAGUGAAAGACGGUCUUGCUGUCACUUAUAGAUGGAUCCGCGCUGCAUUAGCUAGUUGGUAAGGUAACGGCUUACCAAGGCAACGAUGCAUAGCCGACCUGAGAGGGUGAUCGGCCACACUGGAACUGAGACACGGUCCAGACUCCUACGGGAGGCAGCAGUAGGGAAUCUUCCGCAAUGGGCGAAAGCCUGACGGAGCAACGCCGCGUGAGUGAUGAAGGUCUUCGGAUCGUAAAACUCUGUUAUUAGGGAAGAACAUAUGUGUAAGUAACUGUGCACAUCUUGACGGUACCUAAUCAGAAAGCCACGGCUAACUACGUG
rnacentral:rRNA from 1 species